rnacentral:rRNA from 1 species
AAUCCAUAGGUUAAUGAGGCGAACCGGGGGAACUGAAACAUCUAAGUACCCCGAGGAAAAGAAAUCAACCGAGAUUCCCCCAGUAGCGGCGAGCGAACGGGGAGGAGCCCAGAGCCUGAAUCAGCAUGUGUGUUAGUGGAAGCGUCUGGAAAGGCGCGCGAUACAGGGUGACAGCCCCGUACACAAAAGCGCAUGUGCUGUGAGCUCGAUGAGUAGGGCGGGACACGUGGUAUCCUGUCUGAAUAUGGGGGGACCAUCCUCCAAGGCUAAAUACUCCUGACUGACCGAUAGUGAACCAGUACCGUGAGGGAAAGGCGAAAAGAACCCCGGCGAGGGGAGUGAAAAAGAACCUGAAACCGUGUACGUACAAGCAGUGGGAGCACAGGUUUACCUGUGUGACUGCGUACCUUUUGUAUAAUGGGUCAGCGACUUAUAUUCUGUAGCAAGGUUAACCGAAUAGGGGAGCCGGAGGGAAACCGAGUCUUAAUUGGGCGUUAAGUUGCAGGGUAUAGACCCGAAACCCGGUGAUCUAGCCAUGGGCAGGUUGAAGGUUGGGUAACACUAACUGGAGGACCGAACCGACUAAUGUUGAAAAAUUAGCGGAUGACCUGUGGCUGGGGGUGAAAGGCCAAUCAAACCGGGAGAUAGCUGGUUCUCCCCGAAAGCUAUUUAGGUAGCGCCUCGUGAAUUCAUCUCCGGGGGUAGAGCACUGUUUCGGCUAGGGGGCCAUCCCGGCUUACCAACCCGAUGCAAACUGCGAAUACCGGAGAAUGUUAUCACGGGAGACACACGGCGGGUGCUAACGUCCGUCGUGAAGAGGGAAACAACCCAGACCGCCAGCUAAGGUCCCAAAGUCAUGGUUAAGUGGGAAACGAUGUGGGAAGGCCCAGACAGCCAGGAUGUUGGCUUAGAAGCAGCCAUCAUUUAAAGAAAGCGUAAUAGCUCACUGGUCGAGUCGGCCUGCGCGGAAGAUGUAACGGGGCUAAACCAUGCACCGAAGCUGCGGCAGCGACACUCAGGUG